rnacentral:snRNA from 1 species
UAACGAUUUAAAUCUUCUAAAU